AUGCAAAAACUUGAUUACUCAUUUUUCCAAAGGGUGAAGAAUAUUUGGAGGAGAAUGAAGGAGGUGGAUUUUUGUCUAUCCCAUGAAAUAACCAUGGGAUAACCAUAUUUCAUUCAAACACAUGCAUAAGCCAUAAGGGUUUUCGAAAAAGGACAGUUUUUGAAAGGGUGCUUCUUAUGUGAAAAGGUGGUUAUCAUCAUACAUUAAAAUAGAAGUUUUUUCAUUAUGAUUUUAGUUUAACUUUGUAUCGGUGAUCUUUUGACUUUUAUGUUAACUAUUUUUGCUGAUUUUGUAAUAUGGUGGAUGGUUAUAUU
rnacentral:lncRNA from 1 species